rnacentral:rRNA from 1 species
AUUGAACGCUGGCGGCAUGCCUUACACAUGCAAGUCGAACGGUAACAGGUUAAGCUGACGAGUGGCGAACGGGUGAGUAAUGUAUCGGAACGUGCCCAGUCGUGGGGGAUAACUGCUCGAAAGAGCAGCUAAUACCGCAUACGACCUGAGGGUGAAAGCGGGGGAUCGCAAGACCUCGCGCGAUUGGAGCGGCCGAUAUCAGAUUAGGUAGUUGGUGAGGUAAAGGCCCACCAAGCCGACGAUCUGUAGCUGGUCUGAGAGGACGACCAGCCACACUGGGACUGAGACACGGCCCAGACUCCUACGGGAGGCAGCAGUGGGGAAUUUUGGACAAUGGGCGCAAGCCUGAUCCAGCCAUGCCGCGUGCGGGAAGAAGGCCUUCGGGUUGUAAACCGCUUUUGUCAGGGAAGAAAAGGUUCUGGCUAAUACCUGGGACUCAUGACGGUACCUGAAGAAUAAGCACCGGCUAACUACGUGC